rnacentral:snRNA from 1 species
CGACGAAUUUACAAAUAUUGUGU